UGGGGAAUAUUGCACAAUGGGGGAAACCCUGAUGCAGCAACGCCGCGUGCGGGAUGACGGCCUUCGGGUUGUAAACCGCUUUCAGCCAUGACGAAGCUUUUGUGACGGUAGUGGCAGAAGAAGCACCGGCUAACUACGUGCCAGCAGCCGCGGUGAUACGUAGGGUGCGAGCGUUGUCCGGAAUUAUUGGGCGUAAAGAGCUUGUAGGCGGUUUGUCGCGUCGAAAGUGUAAACUCAGUGCUUAACGCUGAGCCUGCUUUCGAUACGGGCUGACUAGAGGAAGGUAGGGGAGAAUGGAAUUCCCGGUGGAGCGGUGGAAUGCGCAGAUAUCGGGAGGAACACCAGUGGCGAAGGCGGUUCUCUGGACCUUUCCUGACGCUGGGAAGCGAAAGCGUGGGUAGCAAACAGG
rnacentral:rRNA from 1 species